CCCCUACCACGCAGCCUCCCUCCCAGCACCAAUAGAGGGCCGGCUACCAUGACACGACAGCGUCGUCGCAAGCCUCACAGGGCUGUGCAUCUCGUCGUCUGCCACGCCCUACCAGGAGCUCCAUCACCCACGCGUCUCCUCCGAGGAGGGGACGGUGGCUUGUGCGCCGGCGUGGUUGGCUCCAGCUCCCCGCCGACCUAUGCCUCCACAUGCGUCACCGUCUUCCACCGCAGGCCCAUGUCCUCGAUCUGCUUCCUUUGCUUCCCGUAGGUUUCCGCAUAGAUCUGGCCGUUUGAUUUGAUGCGGAUGCGAAUUUGGAUCUCCAUCGCUGUAGGUUUCCCGUAGGUUUCCUGGUUCGUACUCGCAUUCGAAUUAGCAUCGAAUCCCUCAGUUUAUGCAGUUUCAUUCUGGUUGAUUGACAUCCCUGUGAAGAUAAAAUUCAGGACCAACUAUUAGCUUUUUGUGAAGGAAAAACAGUUGGUAAAAAAUCAUAGAAACCCCCAAUAAGUGGAUUUAUAGUUGACAGAAGAAGUAUGAUUUGGUGUUGGUGUGUGUGAACUUCUAAAAUUUUGAUCUCUGAAUGCUAGUUGGACAUUUUGCUAGUCUGACAUUUUGAUAUCUGAAUGCUAGUUUGACAUUUUGAUAUCUGAAUCCCUUUCUCUUCCCCUCAUCUUUUCUUCUUCUUCUCUCUGUCUGACCCCCUUCUCAUCUCUCUUUCGAGCCAGGACGUCACCAUGGGAGAAGAAGGCAUGAUGUGUUGUGCUGCUGCUUGGGAGGGAUGCCAUCGGCCUCCCUACUCUGCUUCUUCUCUUCCCCUAACUCCAUCAAGGUGAUGGAUUGGUACAUGGACCUACUCCCCUGCUUCCUAUGUUAAUUUGGUGUGUGAUGUGGAUGUGAUGUAUUUUAGGCAUGAUUAAAUACGUAUUUGGUUCAACUCUGACUGAAACAACUUGUUGGUUCAGUUUCUUGUAUGAAGAACAAAUAUGGAGAACACCUUUUAUUUUCCUUUUUGUUCAAGAUUCAUUUCUAAUUCUAAACCAAACUGAAAUUGCAAAUAGUAUAGAAUGAAUGAAGCAGAGAGUCCUUCCUUAUUUCGCAGCUGGCACAAUUCCUUCUCAAGGUGCUGGUGUUUGUGGAGGACAUGAAAUGAUUUGCAGAGUACAAGGGUGGGCUCAUCGAGGUGUGUGGUGGUAGGCUCGCUCGGCCCCAGCGUCUUCUGUUGAACGGACAUGCCACCUCUUCGGCGUCAGCUACAUGAGAGCCAUGGAAUCAAUGAUGCCGACCUCAUUGCUGGGCACUGUGCUUUUGGUGUAUUAUAUGGCUGGGAGAAAACACAUAGUUUCCUGCUGGUUUAUUACAUAUCAGCCAGUACUAUACGGAGUAGUAUAUAAGGACGUCUUACUGUAGUAUGGCUGAGGCAGUGACCAGCUUGGUAGUUAGUACUAGCUGAGAAAAUUUAUGAUGCUGGCUGAGAGCAAAAAGUUUAUAGGCUUAGUUGCUGUAUUGGUUCUGUUGUUGUAUGGGGAUAUAUGCAUAGAUAUGUAACAUGUGGGUUCCAAGCA